UACGUAGAAGACUAGUGUUAUUCAUCUUUAGUAGGUUUAAAGGGUACCUAGACGGUAAAAUUAGUCCAAAAUAGGAUACGGUUUUCACUAGAGUUAUAUAUGAGAAGGUGAGUAUUCACGGAGUAGAGUUGAAAUUCUUUGAUACCUUGACGACUGGUAACGGCGAAAGCAACCUUUUAUCUAAUAACUGACGUUGAGG
rnacentral:rRNA from 1 species